rnacentral:lncRNA from 1 species
ACUAAUAAGAGGAAGCGUUAUUUACUGAUAUGCCUAGUCUAUCCUUCCAGCAGUCAUGAACAUGAUGGGAAAGCAUAGGACUAAGGGUGGCCAAACUUCCAAAACAGAGCUUGGUGGAACAUGUGUAGGCUCGGAUCUCACAUCACUUACUGGGUGUGUGUCUCAGUGAGAGUUAGCCACUCUGAGCAGGCCUUUGUAAUUGUAUCUGAGAAGUCAAGUUAAAACUAACAGGACCCUCAUUGUCGCAUUAAUAGAAUUAAUAGGAACAGAGCAUGAAAUAGCAUAUGAGGGGUCUUUAAGGAGUAGUUGGGUUCAGUUGCACUAUUGUUGUUGUGUGCUUUUGACUUAAUUUUAUUAUUGACAUGUUCUUUAUGAUCCCAGGCUUAAAUUUUAAUGUGCUUCAUUUUUUUCUAAAACAUUUAGUAUUUCCAAGACUAAAUCCCUCACCUGGACCUAUCAGCAUUGGCGUCUGCUCCUCAUAUCUCACACAGGAUGGUCAAAUACCAAUUUUGCAGCUUACAACAAAGCAGUUAUGUUACAUAGCAAGCCAGGUAGUUAAAUAUCCCACAUAAAGAGAGAAAUGUGCCUAUUUAUAUGAAAAGGCGGUAAUCUAUAGUGGAAAUCCUGUAUUCCUUCUAAGAGGUCCAGUUUAUUUUAUGCUGAUUGUUUUAUGUCUAUAGCAUCAUUUUUAAAAGCCCUUAAUAGGGCAAUACCCAAAGUUCCCAUUUGGGUCUGUAUUGUCUGUGUUUUUGAUGUUGUGAAGUUCAGUACAAACAUCAGAUAUUUUAAAUUAUCCUAGUAUGGGGGAGGCAGGCAAAUGGUAGAGAUAAAUAAAAACACGUGGCUUUGUGCCUUAAGGUCUUGAUUUCUUUGAGUUAAUAUUCUUCAUGCAACACAUAUCUGAAGAAUUAUUCUCAACUGUGAUACAACCAUAAGCAAAACGGAUGGCAAAAAUAGUCCUUGAAGCUUAUACUGUGGUCAUUUAAAGUCUGCUAUUAUUUUAGCUUUUAUUAAACUCUCUUAAAUGUUCAAACAUUAUUUUGUAGGAUUGUCCACUCAUGGGACUGCCAACGGUGUGCCAUUAUUUUGUUGAUGAGAAGGAUCAUAUUAAGGCCUGCCAAUAUGUAGAGUAUAAGCAGUUCAUGCUGCCACAGUUGGAAAAGGAACCGAGAGGGGAGUUGUUCCUGUCUGAAAAGACAUGCUUGGGUUAACCAGAUCCACACUUCUAGAGACACUGGCACUUUGAGAAGCAUGUUGGCCCUCACACUAACUUGAAAUCCCCAACUAGCCCUCGAAAGCACCCUGAAAGUCUAUUUCAGGGCAAAAUAACAACGGAGUUCCCAGCUAGUUCUACCACACUCCUGCAACCAGUCAGUGAUUUGCCUGACUUUUCGCUCCGUGCCAUUUGGUGUAUCAGACUGACUUUGUAAGCCUGAUCUUUAUACCAUGUGCCUCUCUCUCAACUUUGGCUUCUUUUCUGUGGUUUGUUUUUUGUGGUUUGUCUUGUUUUCGUUGAGAAACACUGUGAUUUGGUGACUCUCACUAAAUUAUAUCUCUAAUUGCUAGAAGUGUGUGACUAGGAAGGUAGCCCUUCUGGCAUUUGGUUUUAAGUAUCUUUCCUGAAACUCUGAUAUAAUAUUUAUGGGUCUAUGUGUGCUCCUACAUAUCUGCCUAGAACAUGCUGUAAUCAUAUGAUGGAAGUAUGAACUGUUUCUGUGAGUUGUUAGGAGAUGAGAGAGAAUGAAUAGGGCUUACAUUUGAUGUGGUUAGCAACAAGAAAACACAUUCCCUUUAGGAAACAUUCAACAAAUAUAAUCAAGUUGGAAAGGAAAUCCAUAAAUAUACCUAGAAAACAUUUUUUUUUUAGAUCAUUGCAUGGUUGGUUGAAGUGGAUCUGAACAAGAGUAUCAGAGACAAUGGUAGCUUUCCUGCAGCCUUCCCCGUUUUCCAUAUUCUUAUUCUUAGAACACCAAGAAUAUGGCCCAUAUCCCAAAUGUUUGUAAAAUCUACUUGUAUCAGAAGUAGAUAUUCACAGAGUGAUGAAGAAAUCAAAGAAGGAGAUUCACGUAUCCGACUGUCAUUUUAAGACUGGCCUACCACUUGAAGAUUAAUUACAGACAUGCAGAUUUGAAAUAAAGGUGAAUUGCACUAAUGUCUGUACAUUGCAUAUGAGGUUGUGAAACUCCAUGAAGACAUGUCUCCACUUUCCGUAUUCGUGAACAGGACAGGAGGUCUGUAAUAUAAAAUCAUCUCUUUCUCUGAUCUAGUGUGUGCAAUUGCCCUUGCUUAAGGAAUCAUGAAGUCAACUUGCAUAUUACAAAUAUAUAAAUCUGAACAUUAAAGAUACAUUGAAAUCUUUCAGAAAAAUAAAAUCACAAAACCACUUUUCUUCUCUUUAAACCUGAAUCAACCCCAAUUUGACUGGCAGCGGGUUCUUAUUGCAUCAUGACUAUCAAUGUCUUAUCAAACUCAUGAAUCUAGAACAUGGUAGAAGAGACAUUGACCAAAAUAAUAGAAACAAAAUAAAACCUCAGUACUUCUAAAACUCAGCUACAAAGCCCUGCUGCUCCUUGAGUACAACUUGCUCUCUGCAUUCUUCUUUAUGAUGCAUAUUUAGAGAGAGUUGAAGGGAGAUUUAGAGACUAGCAUUUAUUGUGAACUAUGAUUAAAAUCAGAUAGUUUCAUUUUCAGCUUAUAUAGUUACUUACUGAAGUAGGGGAGCAUUCUGAGAUGACAUGCAUAGCAUCUCCCCUUCAGCCACAUGGGUUAUGGGGAUCAAACUCGGUUUGCUUUACUUUGUAGAAAUCCGAUGAUUAAUUGUUACUAAUUUGGAGAACGGAAUGUCAUUAUAACGUACUAUUUUCAUUUAACAAUGCAAAAGAGAAUGGAUUAAAGUGAAUUAUUUAGUAUACCGAGCAAAUUCCGGAACAUUCGAUGUUAAGGCAGAACAUCCAUUUUAUUUAAUGGCGGAUUAAAACUCAGUCCGUACAAGGCUUAUAAUAUGCACACAUGGGCUUCCUAGCUAGGUCAGCUGAGAGGGCCUGAAACAGCGGCGUCCCAAGAGCUCCCUGUGCAACUAAACACGCAAGAGUUCUCAGAGCAAAGGAUGGUUCUAGAACCAGGGAUGACCAUCAUCUGCACUGAAUGCGGGCAAAGUUCAAGUCAAGUUCAAGGUCAAGUUUCCCAAGGGGGGAGAAAGUGGGGAGGAAAGGGGUGAGGGUCAUUGUAGUUCAGGGCAGCAAGUCAUUAGUGUGGUAGAAAAGGAACCUUGACUGCCUGGCCCUCCUUCCCUACUCCACAGAUGGUAAAAGAGCAGACAAAUUCCAGCAGAAGGUAUAACUUCAAACUAGACUACCAAUCCUUAUUAGGAGAGCCAAGGUCGUGGAAAGCAUAGAACAGUCACACUGCAGUCAAGCCUACUGAAAGACAAUGAGAAAAAAAAUGUAAACUAGCAUCCGUAUAAGAUCCCAGAACAGAAAAAGAUGUGAGGUAAAAUCUAAGCACUUUGCAUAAAAACAAACAUUUAUUAUUUAUAAUCAUUUAUAGUGGCUUUUUAUCUUGACAAAUAUGCCACAGUACUUCAUGAAGUAAAUAACAGGAGUCAUUGAGUAUACUAGUAUAUGUGAGACAUUGAGUAUAUUGGGGUACAUGAGACAUUGAGUAUAUUGGUGUAUGUGAGACAUUGAGUAUAUUGGGGUGUGUGAGACAUUGAGUAUAUUGGUGUAUGUGAUACAUUGCUGUAUAUGAGAAUUCUGUGGGCUAUUUACUCAAUGUUUUGAUAAAUUAAAACCUUAUUAAGAAGUAAAAUACAUUAAAACCAGAAGCC